rnacentral:rRNA from 2 species
AAGUGUUAAGUCUUUAAUUUUGAAACCUUAGCUUACUUUGUAAGUUAAGGCUAGAUUUAAACAAAAAUUAAAGAUUAAAUUAGUAUUGAAUGAAACUUUGUUUAUAUAUCGAUAAUGACGAUAUAUAUAUUAUGUCUUGACCAAUUACGUGCCAGCAGUCGCGGUAAUACGUAAGAGACUAGUGUUAUUCAUCUUAAUUAGGUUUAAAGGGUACUCAAACGGUCUCUUCGCAUAAAAAGACUAGAGUUAUAUAGAAGAAGGUAGUACCUUAAGUGUAGAGAUUAUAUUUGGUCAUACUCGAGGGACUUAGAAAAGGCGUAGGCAACCUUCUAAGCAAUAACUGACGUUGAAGGACGAAGGCAUAGGUCACGAACAGGAUUAGAUACCCAAGUCCUGCUUUGCAGUCCAAUGAUGAAUGCCCUUGGGUUAGAUAAAAAUUUUGGUCUUUGAAUGAAAGUGUCGGCAUUCGCCUCAAGAGUAAUGUGGCGGGGCAGGAUCUGUAGU